GACGAACGCUGGCGGCGUGCUUAACACAUGCAAGUCGAACGGAAAGGCCCUGCUUUUGUGGGGUGCUCGAGUGGCGAACGGGUGAGUAACACGUGAGUAACCUGCCCUUGACUUUGGGAUAACUUCAGGAAACUGGGGCUAAUACCGGAUAGGAGCUCCUGCUGCAUGGUGGGGGUUGGAAAGUUUCGGCGGUUGGGGAUGGACUCGCGGCUUAUCAGCUUGUUGGUGGGGUAGUGGCUUACCAAGGCUUUGACGGGUAGCCGGCCUGAGAGGGUGACCGGCGACAUUGGGACUGAGAGACGGCCCAGACUGCUACGGGAGGCAGCAGUGGGGAAUAUUGUACAAUGGGCGGAAGCCUGAUGCAGCAACGCCGCGUGCGGGAUGACGGCCUUCGGGGUGUAAACCGCUGUCGCCUGUGACGAAGCGGGAGUGACGGUAAUGGGUAAAGAAGCACCGGCUAACUACGUG
rnacentral:rRNA from 1 species